GGCAUUGUGGCUGAGUGGUUAUAGCGAUAGACUAGAAAUCUAUUCUCCUCGGAGGCGUAGGUUCGAAUCCUGCCAAUGUCG